AUGAAAGGUGGUUACUUAAUUAGGACCUUACUCUCUGAGUAAGGGGAGCCUCCCACCUGCUUACCUGGUCAAUUGUUCGAUUACCUCUUAUGAAGAGCUCAAGUUGCAAACACUAAGACCUGAUUAAUCAAUAUUAAGUCAAUAGGUCUUCCACUGUAGUAGAGCUGCUAAGAUCUUUCUGAUGUUGAUUUGUCUCGGCUGGACACAGUGGGCAAGUUGCAUCAGGGGGCUAGACCUCUCUAUAGACAUGAGA
rnacentral:lncRNA from 1 species